GAUGAACGCUGGCGGCGUGCCUAAUACAUGCAAGUCGAGCGAACAGACGAGGAGCUUGCUCCUCUGACGUUAGCGGCGGACGGGUGAGUAACACGUGGAUAACCUACCUAUAAGACUGGGAUAACUUCGGGAAACCGGAGCUAAUACCGGAUAAUAUAUUGAACCGCAUGGUUCAAUAGUGAAAGACGGUUUUGCUGUCACUUAUAGAUGGAUCCGCGCCGGAUUAGCUAGUUGGUAAGGUAACGGCUUACCAAGGCAACGAUGCGUAGCCGACCUGAGAGGGUGAUAGGCCACACUGGAGCUGAGACACGGUCCAGACUCCUACGGGAGGCAGCAGUAGGGAAUCUUCCGCAAUGGGCGAAAGCCUGAAGGAGCAACGCCGCGUGAGUGAUGAAGGUCUUCGGAUAGUAAAACUCUGUUAUUAGGGAAGAACAAAUGUGUAAGUAACUAUGCACGUCUUGACGGUACCUAAUCAGAAAGCCACGGCUAACUACGUG
rnacentral:rRNA from 1 species